AAACAUGAAGCGCUGCAACACC
rnacentral:miRNA from 1 species